rnacentral:lncRNA from 1 species
AUGGCGCCGGGCGGGCGGCUGGUGCUGUGUGAGGAGAAGAUCCGGGAGAAGAGCGGCCUGGCGCCUCACUGCGACCUGGCUGAACUUCGGUCAUUAUCUAUUCCGGGAACUUAUCAAGAAAAGAUUACUCACCUGGGAAAUUCUUUGAUGAAUUUAACAGGUCUAAAAUCUCUAGAUCUCUCACGAAACUCCUUGGUUAGUCUAGAGGGCAUCGAGUGCCUGGCGGCGCUGGAGAGCCUCAACCUCUACUACAACCGCAUCUCCUCGCUGGCGGAGGUCUUCCGGCUCCACUCCCUGGCGGGGCUCUCGGAGGUGGACCUGCGGCUGAACCCCGUGGCGAAGAGCGAGUCUGACUUCCGCCUCUUCGUGGUGCGCAUGCUCCCGGGUCUCCAGCAGCUGGAUGACCGCCCCGUGAGGGAGAGUGAGCGGAGAGCGUCCCAGCUGCUUUUUGGUUCGGAGGACUCACUGGACUCAAAGCAGAGCUUCCCAUCUGUUUUCAGAGAAGAAAGACCUCAUCACUCCAGAGUCAAGGGCACUGACUCCUCCGCCAAGAAGUGCUUGGUCAUGGACGCGGAUGACGAGGCGGUCCUGAGCCUCAUUGCCGAGUGUGAGUGGGACCUGAGCAACCCUCCUGGGGGCAUGAGUUCCAGCCAGAAGGAGUCAGAGGCCAGCCUCCAGAGCUCCCAAGCAGAGUCGCGGCACCGACUGAGCUCUCAGGCAGCCCAGCACCAGUGCGGAGACUCGCUGUGGAAGGGCCCUGAGCGGCGCAGGAGCAGCUCCAGGGCGGGCUGCGUGGAGCCGAGGCUGCAGGACCAGCGCUGCGGCGAGCUCCCCCCGCAGCUCUUCACCCCAGACUCCACGGAGACCGAGGACUCAGGCGCGUCUUCUCAGAAGUCCAGUGUGUUGACACAAAAGAUGUUAAACGCCUUACCUGCUCCUGAGAAGUACAGGAAGCGGAGGAUGCCUGGCGGGAGGUUCCAGGCACCUGCAGAGGAGGCCUGUCUCAGCUCUCUGGAGGGGAGCCUGAGUGUGAGCCGGAGGAGCGGUUCGGAGGCCUGGGGCCAGGCCGCCUCUUCCCUCUCGGCCACCCCAGGGCCCGAGCAGCCAAGACCACCCAGCGCCAGCGAGGCGUGUCCCAAAUCGCACUCCGCCGCGCUGCCCGGGAAGAAGGCCACCCUGGAGGCGCUGGUUCUGGAAGCGCUCCUCGACCUGGUGGAUAGGCACUGGAGUGGCCACAGGUCCUUGCACAGCAGCGAAGCCUUCCUUGCUCAGGCAAGACACAUUUUGUCAUCUGUUCAAGAGUUUACAACCACUCAGGACACUUCGACAACUCUGAAUGAAGAAAUUAGCUCCCUGACUCUGGAAAAUAAGUCUUUGCACAGUCGCCUUGCUGAGCUGCAGCAACAGUACGGCAUGCAGAUGACUGAGGUGGUGCUGGAACUCAGCGACACUCGGAAGGAGAUGGAUUACCUGAGGCAGCAUCUGGACAGAUCUCUGGAGGAGAGCAGUAGCUUGAAGUCGCUUUUGUUCAGCAUGAAGAAAGAUGUGAGGACCGCUGACGCUCCGUCUGCGCUGAACCUGCAGAUCUCCGGACUCCAGGCGAGCGUGAAGCGGCUCUCGGGCGAGCUCGUGGAGCUCAAGCAGCACCUGGAGCAUUACGACAAGAUCCAGGAGCUCACGCAGAUGCUGCAGGAGAGCCACAGCUCUCUGGUCAGCACCAACGAGCGCCUGCUGCAGGAGCUGGGCCAGGCGCGCGCGCAGCACCAGGCCGAGGUGGAGCAGCUGCACUGGAGCUACAAGGAGCUCAAGAAGACCCUGGCGCGGGCCCCCGGCAGCCCCCGGGGUGCGCGCCCGCCACCCCGCCGCGCGCCCUGUGAGCCCCUUUCCGCUGUGUCUUCAGGGCCCGAGACGCCCUAGAAAGACAGGUUCAUCCUCGCCCUUCGCGUGUCAGUCAGAUCUCUACUUUUUCAUCAGCUAUCUUGAGGAAAAGAAGAUGUUGCAUGUUCCUGCCUAACGUGCAAGAAAGCAGCUCUUUAGGACGAUUGAAGAAAAUAAUUUACUGUGCACCAGGCAACCUUAUUUAAUAAACAC